UUUACCUUUAUUCAUGAACUGUGACAGGAAGCCCAAGGCAGUGUUCCUCACCAAUAACUUCAGAGAAGACAGUUGGAGAAAAUGAAAAAUCACUACAACCAUCAGUUACUGGUUUCAGUUGACAUUUGUACAUUCCUGAUACUGAGUACAAGAGCCAUGUACCAAUGUACUGUUUUCAACUGAAAUCACUGAAGCAUUUUUACUACUAUUCUGUUAAAAUCAGGAUUUAGUGCUUGCCACCACCAGAUGAGAAGUUAAGCAGCCUUUCUGUGGAGAGCAAGAAUAAUUGUGUACAAAGUAGAGAAAUAUCCAAUUAUGUGAUGACCUUUGUGUAAUAAAAAUUUGUUUAAAGUUAAAAAAAAAAAAAAAAAAAAAAAAAAAAAAAAUCUUUGGUCACACUGACCUCUCCAACUUUUCCUAAGUCAUGAGGCUGAACGUUUUCAAGAUUUAAGGUCAACCUCUUCAUCUUUGAUCUGAAAUUCAAAUUUAACUGGAUAUCCUGUUUGUUUGUUUGUGCUAAAUCUGGCAACC
rnacentral:lncRNA from 10 species